rnacentral:lncRNA from 15 species
GUACGUACGUACGUACGUACGUACGUACUACUACUACUACUCUCUCUCUCUCUCUCUCUCUCUCUCUCUCUCUCUCUCUCUCUCUCUCUCUCUCUCUCUCUCUCUCUCUCUCUCUCUCUCUCUCUCUCUCUCUGUCCUCCAUCCCUCCAUCCUCUAUCUUCUCUUUUGUUUUGGUAGUUGGGAGGGCAGCGAUGAUGGCUGCUGGCGAGGUUUGAAUGCCUUUAAUGUGGCUCUCCCUUCUUCUUCUUCUUCUUCUUCUUCUUUUUUUUUUUUUACGUGCACCACCUGCUCCUUCGACACUCCACUGGACUCGGACAGGAAGACAGGGAGCUGACCGAAUGACAUCACUGGUCAAUCCGUAAUCAAGUGACGUCAUCGCUGACAUCACCGCCCUCCUCAGCCAGUACGAACAUCCCAAUAUGAGAGGGAGAGAGUGUUUCAACAGAGCCCAAAGACUCAUGGGAGUUUGUUUUUUUAAAUCAAUGUUUGUUUGUUUGUUUGUUUUCUACCUUGUCUGUAAAAGUCCCGGACCACCCUCUGCUGCAGACUGUGUUUAUGUGUGUGUGUGUGUGUGUGUGUUGGGAUAUUGAUUAAGUUGAUUCUGUUGUUUCUGACACGGAGCAGGUGAGGUUUGGUACUUUGUCGUGUCUGCAGUGUGAGCUGUGAGUUAGAGAUUAUUAAUAUUAAUUAUAAUGAGGAGAGACGGGCGCGCCCAGAGCCAUCGAUGGACUGAGUUCAGACGUAAGCAGCCAUUUUGGCUCACUGAGGGGUUUCUGUGAGGACCAGUUAACAUUUUCUUUUUCUCUAGACGAUACGGGUACCUGCAGGGCUCAAAAUGAGGUCAUUAAACGGCAGAGAAACUGGAUCUUGAUAGAGGAGAGAUUGGAGAAAAGUACAGACUAUAAAUAUCCCUCUGCACUCCGAUAACAUUGUCAGACUUGACAGACUGUAAAAAAAAAAAAGAAUCAAAAUCCAUACAGCAGAACCAGAGAUAUUGUGUUUUUUAUUUAAGUUAAUCACGGUGAACAUGAAGCUGUAAUUUCUUUUGGUCUGACUUGUUUUCUUCUAAUUUAACAUUUUCUCAUUAGAGCUGUUACGCUCCACUACCUGCCUGUCAUCUGACUGCAACAAAAAGUCGUUUUCUCCAAAUUUUCUCCAAAUAGAAGCUUUAUUGUCUCAUCCUUGUCUUAAAAAGACUGACGUAGGCAGUAGUAAAUCAGCUCUAGCUACAAACAGCGCAGAGCAAGAAGAGACGGGACUUAGGAAGGGUCAAUUGUUAGCACCAAGUUUAACAAUGAAAGCUAAGAGAAAGUCUUCAGUCUCUACUGAGCAAAGUCAACAUUUAAACAAAAGCAUCUCUGAUUUUCUACUAAAUCCAAAAUCAGAAUCAUUAUCAGGAUAGUCCUCAGAAAUCAACUGAACUCGCUCCAUCUGCGGCUCUGGGACGUCUGUGGAGUCGACGCUGAGACUGUGAGGGAGAGAAUGUGCAUGUCAACAACCUUUUUUUACUCGGUACGUUCAAGAUGAAACAGUAAGUAAGUUGUGAUAAUGCUGAAACAUAAAGUGACGAUACAUGAAGGAUGCUUGUGUACGAUAGGAAAGAUCAUAUCUUAA